AGUUAUUCACGUAGGGUACAGAGGUAAGAUGUUCUAUCUUUCAGACCUUUUACUUCACGUAAUCGGAUUUGGCUGAAUAUUUUAGCCGCCCCAGUCAGUUUAUGACUGGGGCGUUUUUUA
rnacentral:other from 40 species